GCUUACGGCCAUACCACCCUGAACACGCCCGGUCUCGUCUGAUCUCGGAAGCAAAACAGGGUCGGGCCUGGUCAGUACUCGGGUGGAAGACCCCCUUGGGAAUACCAGGUGCCGUAAGCU
ensembl:rRNA 5S_rRNA 5S ribosomal RNA